AAUAAAGUGCCUGAUGAAAAGGGCCGUCUUGAUAGGGCGGAUAAUGCGGUAACCCGCCUUUAUUA
rnacentral:tRNA from 1 species